GGAGAGGUGUCCGAGCGGUUGAUGGUGCGGCUCUCGAAAAGCCGUGAGGCGCAAGCCUCCGUGGGUUCGAAUCCCACCCUCUCCGCCG
rnacentral:tRNA from 1 species